rnacentral:rRNA from 1 species
UACGGAGGGGGCUAGCGUUGUUCGGAAUUACUGGGCGUAAAGCGCGCGUAGGCGGACCUGCAAGUCGGGGGUGAAAGCCCGAGGCUCAACCUCGGAACUGCCUUCGAUACUGCGGGUCUCGAGUCCGGGAGAGGUGAGUGGAAUUCCUAGUGUAGAGGUGAAAUUCGUGGAUAUUAGGAAGAACACCAGUGGCGAAGGCGGCUCACUGGCCCGGUACUGACGCUGAGGCGCGAAAGCCAGGGGAGCAAACGGG